rnacentral:rRNA from 1 species
UGCCAGCAGCCGCGGUAAUACGGAGGGUGCAAGCGUUGUUCGGAAUUACUGGGCGUAAAGCGUACGUAGGCGGACUAUUAAGUCAGAGGUGAAAUCCCGGGGCUCAACCCCGGAACUGCCUUUGAUACUGGUAGUCUAGAGGUCGAGAGAGGUGAGUGGAAUUCCAAGUGUAGAGGUGAAAUUCGUAGAUAUUUGGAGGAACACCAGUGGCGAAGGCGGCUCACUGGCUCGAUACUGACGCUGAGGUACGAAAGUGUGGGUAGCAAACAGGAUUAGAUA